rnacentral:rRNA from 1 species
AUUGAACGCUGGCGGCAUGCCUUACACAUGCAAGUCGAACGGCAGCACGGGUGCUUGCACCUGGUGGCGAGUGGCGAACGGGUGAGUCAUACAUCGGAACAUGUCCUGUAGUGGGGGAUAGCCCGGCGAAAGCCGGAUUAAUACCGCAUACGAUCUACGGAUGAAAGCGGGGGACCUUCGGUCCUCGCGCUAUAGGGUUGGCCGAUGGCUGAUUAGCUAGUUGGUGGGGUAAAGGCCUACCAAGGCGACGAUCAGUAGCUGGUCUGAGAGGACGACCAGCCACACUGGGACUGAGACACGGCCCAGACUCCUACGGGAGGCAGCAGUGGGGAAUUUUGGACAAUGGGCGAAAGCCUGAUCCAGCAAUGCCGCGUGUGUGAAGAAGGCCUUCGGGUUGUAAAGCACUUUUGUCCGGAAAGAAAUCCUUGGCCCUAAUACGGUCGGGGGAUGACGGUACCGGAAGAAUAAGCACCGGCUAACUACGUG